rnacentral:tRNA from 1 species
GAGGGUAUAGCUCAGUGACGGAGUGCGUGCCUUGCAUGCACAAGGUCCCGGGUUCAAUCCUCAGUACCUCCA